UCUAACAGACCUGACUUGAAGAGAAGGCUUUAAACAAGCAGGAUCGAAACAGCAGCAAGUAAGCAGGUCUGCCUGAGCAGUUAACUGUCAAGACUCCUGCUGUUGCUAUGCUAUGGCAAUUCCUAAAUUCUUCAUUCUGGAACAGUGAUUCUUAAAGUGCGGUUCAGAGAUCCUGGGAGACAUUGACAUUCUUUCAGAGUAUAAAGUCUCUGCAGAUAGAGUACACACUUCCUUACAACUUCUUGAGAUUUGAUACCUGCACUUGGCAUGGAGACCACUGGCCAUAUUGCCACCGAUAACAAGGCUUCACUGGGCAGGGUUUGGACUGGUCCAUCAGGGAAGGGCAUGGUCUUCCAUCACCUUGAAAGGGCUGGGUCACUGUUCGUCUUCGGAUCAUUUUUCCUUUAAGAGAUACAAAGUGAUGCAACUUUAAUAUAUGUUAUGGUUUUGCAAGCAUAUAUCUCAUUGGGAGAAGGCAUCACAGUGAUAUCUCCUGAGGCGAUCCAGGAACAAGUAAGGCUUAGACGUUUUGGAAAGAAAGACAACCAAUCCAACCUUUCUGAAGAUUAUCUGAUAUGGGUUAAAGCAAGAAGGAUAUUUUAUUUCAUAUUCCUUGACCAUUAGCCUAAUAAAAAUUACGGUACAAACAAA